GCUGGGCGCAGUGGUGCACACCUGUAAUCCCAGCUGCUCAGGAGGCUGAGGCAGGAGGAUCACAAGUUUGAAACCAGUCUCUG
rnacentral:sRNA from 1 species